AUCCCUUUUGGUUCAUAGGCAUGUUGACUGGGUUUUCACAGUAAUGUGUGAGAUGUGCCACCCUUAGAUGUCAUUAUGAUUUAGAUG
rfam:Otolemur garnettii contig105728, whole genome shotgun sequence.